rnacentral:rRNA from 1 species
AGCAGCCGCGGUAAUUCCAGCUCCAAUAGCGUAUAUUAAAGUUGUUGCAGUUAAAAAGCUCGUAGUUGAAUUUCGGGGUUAGUAGGUUGGUCGUGCCUCAGGUAUGCACUGAUCUCACUGAUUCCUCCUUCCUGAUGAACCGUAAUGCCAUUAAUUUGGUGUUGCGGGGAAACUGGACUGUUACUUUGAAAAAAAUUAGAGUGUUUAAAGCAGGCUAACGCUUGAAUACAUUAGCAUGGAAUAAUGAAAUAGGACGUUCGAUCCUAUUUUGUUGGUUUCUAGGAUUGACGUAAUGAUUAAUAGGGAUAGUUGGGGGGCAUUAGUAUUCAAUUGUCAGAGGUGAAAUUCUUGGAUUUAUUGAAGACUAACUACUGCGAAAGCAUUUGCCAAGGAUGUUUUCAUUAAUCAAGAACGAAAGUUAGGGGAUCGAAGACGAUCAGAUACCGUCGUAGUCUUAACCAUAAACUAUGCCGACUAGGGAUCGGAUGAUGUUAAUUUUUUAAUGUACUCAUUCGGCGUC